UGCGACCUGAUUGCUAAGUGCUGUCAG
rnacentral:piRNA from 1 species